GACGAACGCUGGCGGCGUGCUUAACACAUGCAAGUCGAGCGAGGUCCAUCCGGUGGCAACACCGGGGAAGACCUAGCGGCGAACGGGUGAGUAACACGUGAGCAACCUGCCCCGAAGACUGGGAUAACACCGGGAAACCGGUGCUAAUACCGGAUGCCCUCCUCUGGUCGCAUGGCCUAGGGAGGAAAUGAAUUUUGCUUCGGGAGGGGCUCGCGGGCUAUCAGCUCGUUGGUGGGGUAACGGCUCACCAAGGCGACGACGGCUAGCUGGUCUGAGAGGACGACCAGCCACACUGGGACUGAGACACGGCCCAGACUCCUACGGGAGGCAGCAGUGGGGAAUCUUGCGCAAUGGGCGAAAGCCUGACGCAGCAACGCCGCGUGGGGAUGAAGGCC
rnacentral:rRNA from 1 species